AUAGAUCUUCGGGGCAGGGUGAAAUUCCCUACCGGCGGUACAGCCCGCGAGCUACAUUUGUAGCAUGAUUUGGUGAAAUUCCAAAGCCGACAGUAAAGUCUGGAUGAGAGAAGAAGCAA
rnacentral:ncRNA from 1 species